rnacentral:rRNA from 1 species
UUUAAAUGAAGACCGGAACAAAAGAUUAAAUGUUUAAAUUUAUAUCUAUAUUUAAUUAAUCAAAUUUAUCUUAAGUGUAAAAAGACACUUAUAAAAAAGAAAGACGACAAGACCCUAUUGAACUUAACUUAAGUUAAACUGGGGCAGUUAAUUAAUAAUAACUUUAAUUUAAAAAAAUUAAAUAAAUCAUCCAAUAUUAUUGAAAUAAUCAAGUUACCAUAGGGAUAACAGCGUAAUAAUUUUCUAAAGCUCCUAUAAAAAAAAAAGCUUACGACCUCGAUGUUGAAUUAAUUACCUAAAUAGAGCAAAAGCUAACAAAGGAAGUCUGUUCGACUUUUAAAAAAUUACAUGAUUUGAGUUCAGACCGGUGUAAACCAGGUCGGUUUCUAUCUUCUAUUAAAUUCUUACAGUACGAAAGGGCCUAAGAAACUAAUUUAAUUAAAAUUAAUUGGCAGAAAAAUGCAUUAGAAUUAGAAUCUAAUCAAACUUAUUUAUACCAUUUAUUUUAUCAUAUUUAAUUAUUAUUAUUAGA